GGAGAAAUAGCUCAGCAGUUAAGAGCACUGGCUGUUUUUCCAGAGGACCUGGGUUCGAUUCCCAGUACCCACA
rnacentral:tRNA from 1 species